AUUGAACGCUGGCGGAAUGCUUUACACAUGCAAGUCGAACGGCAGCACGGGUGCUUGCACCUGGUGGCGAGUGGCGAACGGGUGAGUAAUAUAUCGGAACGUAUCCAAUAAUGGGGGAUAACUAGCCGAAAGGUUAGCUAAUACCGCAUACGCCCUGAGGGGGAAAGCUGGGGAUCGUAAGACCUAGCGUUGAUGGAGCGGCCGAGAUCUGAUUAGCUAGUUGGUGGGGUAAGAGCCUACCAAGGCGACGAUCAGUAGCUGGUCUGAGAGGACGACCGGCCACACUGGAACUGAGACACGGUCCAGACUCCUACGAGAGGCAGCAGUGGGGAAUUUUGGACAAUGGGGGCAACCCUGAUCCAGCCAUUCCGCGUGAGUGAAGAAGGCCUUCGGGUUGUAAAGCUCUUUCGCAAGGGAAGAAAACUCGAUCUCUAAUAUAGGUUGAGGCUGACGGUACCUUGAUAAGAAGCACCGGCUAACUACGUGCCAGCCGCCGCCGUAA
rnacentral:rRNA from 1 species